rnacentral:tRNA from 1 species
UGAAAUAGCUCAGUUGGUAGAGCAGCUGAUUCGUAAUCAGCAGGUCGAGGGUUCGAGUCCCUUUUUCA